GUAGAUUUGGCCAUGGCCCUUGAGAGAGAGGCUUCCCUCCAUCCCCAAGUUACCAUUGAAGAGAGUUCUGAUCCAGAGUGGAGUACAUAUACACUUCAGUGGGUCUGGAGAAAAGAAGGUUCGGCAAUCUCUCUCAGAACCAGGCAAACUUACAUGGUUGGUCACCCUACCAGAUGAGCAGCAUCAACAUCAUGUGGAAAUGCCAAUGAUCAGGGCCCAGCCAGGGACCUACUGAUUCACAGACUCUGGGAUGGGGCCCAGCAUGCUGCCACGUGCCCUCCAGGUGAGUCUGAUGAACGCUCAAGUUUGAGAACCACUGCCCUAAGCAACUCCCAAGUCUUUGCACUCCAAAGACUGAUGGCUCCUCAGUAGUAAGACUCUGCAGGCUGUCGUGUUGGGGUGAGUACAGGACAUUUGGCAAUGUUUGCAGACAUUUUUGGCUGUCAUAAUGAGAGGAAGAUGCUGUAUGGCAGACACACCUGAAAGCAAUAACUUAAGCAGACCCUGAGAAAGACCUGUGGUCUAAAAGGAAUGUGUGUUUAGAGUUCCAAGCUAAGGAAUCCGGGAGUAGCCAACCUGAAGAUUCAUUCCUUAUCUAUCAGGAACAUCUGAACCCCUGGCCCAUUCUAUGGAACACGGUCGAUACAGGGGAUCGAGGUCCUUUGUUUUGUUGUAAACAAAGGUUGCCAGGUGGAGGUUGUUAGAGGGAGGGUGCUCAGUGAAAAUGCUGUAUGAACUGCAUGACUUUUACAAGCAGGAGCGGUUCUCCAGUGCAGCCUUACAUACAGCCAUGGGUCUGCCCUGUGUAUAAGUCCCCUUCAAUAAACCCUAUGUCUUGUUCGCUGACUCCAAGUCCCUUCUUUGGCCUCUCAAACAUGGUGCCAUCCCUACUGAAGUCAAUAGGGUUCUGGCAUGACAGACGCUACUGGCAUUGAGUGUGUAGAGGCCAGGGGUGCUGCUAAGUAAAUAUUCUACAAUAUUUCUGGGCCCUACAACAUAGAAUUAAGCAUCCUAAAAUAUCAACAGCGCUGAGCUUGAGAAACUUUCUCAGUGGCUUCAGUGCCCUUAGCUAUGGGCCUUAUCAUCUCAG
rnacentral:lncRNA from 1 species